rnacentral:rRNA from 1 species
GACGAACCGAGCGAACGUUGUUCGGAUUCACUGGGCUUAAAGGGCGCGUAGGCGGUUUCCCAAGUCCGGGGUGAAAACUUUCGGCUCAACCGGAAAAGUGCCUUGGAUACUGGGAAGCUGGAGGGAGGUAGGGGCAGGUGGAACUUCCGGUGGAGCGGUGAAAUGCGUAGAUAUCGGAAGGAACGCCGGUGGCGAAAGCGACCUGCUGGACCUCUUCUGACGCUGAGGCGCGAAAGCCAGGGGAG